rnacentral:rRNA from 3 species
UUAAGCGACUAAGCGUACACGGUGGAUGCCCUGGCAGUCAGAGGCGAUGAAGGACGUGCUAAUCUGCGAAAAGCGUCGGUAAGGUGAUAUGAACCGUUAUAGCCGGCGAUGUCCGAAUGGGGAAACCCAGUGCAAUUCGUUGCACUAUCGUUAACUGAAUACAUAGGUUAACGAGGCGAACCGGGGGAACUGAAACAUCUAAGUACCCCGAGGAAAAGAAAUCAACCGAGAUUCCCCCAGUAGCGGCGAGCGAACGGGGAGCAGCCCAGAGUCUGAAUCAGCUUGUGUGUUAGUGGAACGGUCUGGAAAGUCCGACGGUACAGGGUGAUAGUCCCGUACACCAAAAUGCACAGGCUGUGAACUCGAAGAGUAGGGCGGGACACGUGGUAUCCUGUCUGAAUAUGGGGGGACCAUCCUCCAAGGCUAAAUACUCCUGACUGACCGAUAGUGAACCAGUACCGUGAGGGAAAGGCGAAAAGAACCCCGGCGAGGGGAGUGAAAAAGAACCUGAAACCGUGUACGUACAAGCAGUGGGAGCACCUUCGGGUGUGACUGCGUACCUUUUGUAUAAUGGGUCAGCGACUUAUAUUCUGUAGCAAGGUUAACCGUAUAGGGGAGCCGCAGGGAAACCGAGUCUUAACUGGGCGUUAAGUUGCAGGGUAUAGACCCGAAACCCGGUGAUCUAGCCAUGGGCAGGUUGAAGGUUGGGUAACACUAACUGGAGGACCGAACCGACUAAUGUUGAAAAAUUAGCGGAUGACUUGUGGCUGGGGGUGAAAGGCCAAUCAAACCGGGAGAUAGCUGGUUCUCCCCGAAAGCUAUUUAGGUAGCGCCUCGUGAAUUCAUCUUCGGGGGUAGAGCACUGUUUCGGCUAGGGGGUCAUCCCGACUUACCAACCCGAUGCAAACUACGAAUACCGAAGAAUGUUAUCACGGGAGACACACGGCGGGUGCUAACGUCCGUCGUGAAGAGGGAAACAACCCAGACCGCCAGCUAAGGUCCCAAAGUCAUGGUUAAGUGGGAAACGAUGUGGGAAGGCACAGACAGCCAGGAUGUUGGCUUAGAAGCAGCCAUCAUUUAAAGAAAGCGUAAUAGCUCACUGGUCGAGUCGGCCUGCGCGGAAGAUGUAACGGGGCUAAACCAUGCACCGAAGCUGCGGCAGCGACACUAUGUGUUGUUGGGUAGGGGAGCGUUCUGUAAGCCUGCGAAGGUGUGCUGUGAGGCAUGCUGGAGGUAUCAGAAGUGCGAAUGCUGACAUAAGUAACGAUAAAGCGGGUGAAAAGCCCGCUCGCCGGAAGACCAAGGGUUCCUGUCCAACGUUAAUCGGGGCAGGGUGAGUCGACCCCUAAGGCGAGGCCGAAAGGCGUAGUCGAUGGGAAACAGGUUAAUAUUCCUGUACUUGGUGUUACUGCGAAGGGGGGACGGAGAAGGCUAUGUUAGCCGGGCGACGGUUGUCCCGGUUUAAGCAUGUAGGCUGAUUGUCCAGGCAAAUCCGGAUAAUCAAGGCUGAGGUGUGAUGACGAGGCACUACGGUGCUGAAGUAACAAAUGCCCUGCUUCCAGGAAAAGCCUCUAAGCAUCAGGUAACAUUAAAUCGUACCCCAAACCGACACAGGUGGUCAGGUAGAGAAUACCAAGGCGCUUGAGAGAACUCGGGUGAAGGAACUAGGCAAAAUGGUGCCGUAACUUCGGGAGAAGGCACGCUGGUGUGUAGGUGAAGUCCCUGCGGAUGGAGCUGAGACCAGUCGAAGAUACCAGCUGGCUGCAACUGUUUAUUAAAAACACAGCACUGUGCAAACACGAAAGUGGACGUAUACGGUGUGACGCCUGCCCGGUGCCGGAAGGUUAAUUGAUGGGGUUAUCCGUAAGGAGAAGCUCUUGAUCGAAGCCCCGGUAAACGGCGGCCGUAACUAUAACGGUCCUAAGGUAGCGAAAUUCCUUGUCGGGUAAGUUCCGACCUGCACGAAUGGCGUAAUGAUGGCCAGGCUGUCUCCACCCGAGACUCAGUGAAAUUGAACUCGCUGUGAAGAUGCAGUGUACCCGCGGCAAGACGGAAAGACCCCGUGAACCUUUACUAUAGCUUGACACUGAACAUUGAGCCUUGAUGUGUAGGAUAGGUGGGAGGCUUUGAAGCGUGGACGCCAGUCUGCGUGGAGCCAACCUUGAAAUACCACCCUUUAAUGUUUGAUGUUCUAACGUUGGCCCCUGACCGGGGUUGCGGACAGUGUCUGGUGGGUAGUUUGACUGGGGCGGUCUCCUCCCAAAGCGUAACGGAGGAGCACGAAGGUUAGCUAAUCCUGGUCGGACAUCAGGAGGUUAGUGCAAUGGCAUAAGCUAGCUUGACUGCGAGCGUGACGGCGCGAGCAGGUGCGAAAGCAGGUCAUAGUGAUCCGGUGGUUCUGAAUGGAAGGGCCAUCGCUCAACGGAUAAAAGGUACUCCGGGGAUAACAGGCUGAUACCGCCCAAGAGUUCAUAUCGACGGCGGUGUUUGGCACCUCGAUGUCGGCUCAUCACAUCCUGGGGCUGAAGUAGGUCCCAAGGGUAUGGCUGUUCGCCAUUUAAAGUGGUACGCGAGCUGGGUUUAGAACGUCGUGAGACAGUUCGGUCCCUAUCUGCCGUGGGCGCUGGAGAAUUGAGGGGGGCUGCUCCUAGUACGAGAGGACCGGAGUGGACGCAUCACUGGUGUUCGGGUUGUCAUGCCAAUGGCACUGCCCGGUAGCUAAAUGCGGAAGAGAUAAGUGCUGAAAGCAUCUAAGCACGAAACUUGCCCCGAGAUGAGUUCUCCCUGAGACUUUAAGUCUCCUGAAGGAACGUUAAAGACGAUGACGUUGAUAGGCCGGGUGUGUAAGCGCAGCGAUGCGUUGAGCUAACCGGUACUAAUGAACCGUGAGGCUUAACCUU